CAUGCAAGUCGAACGGUAACAGGAAGCAGCUUGCUGYUUCGCUGACGAGUGGCGGACGGGUGAGUAAUGUCUGGGAAACUGCCUGAUGGAGGGGGAUAACUACUGGAAACGGUAGCUAAUACCGCAUAACGUCGCAAGACCAAAGAGGGGGACCUUCGGGCCUCUUGCCAUCGGAUGUGCCCAGAUGGGAUUAGCUAGUAGGUGGGGUAACGGCUCACCUAGGCGACGAUCCCUAGCUGGUCUGAGAGGAUGACCAGCCACACUGGAACUGAGACACGGUCCAGACUCCUACGGGAGGCAGCAGUGGGGAAUAUUGCACAAUGGGCGCAAGCCUGAUGCAGCCAUGCCGCGUGUAUGAAGAAGGCCUUCGGGUUGUAAAGUACUUUCAGCGGGGAGGAAGGGAGUAAAGUUAAUACCUUUGCUCAUUGACGUUACCCGCAGAAGAAGCACCGGCUAACUCCGUGCCAGCAGCCGCGGUAAUACGGAGGGUGCAAGCGUUAAUCGGAAUUACUGGGCGUAAAGCGCACGCAGGCGGUUUGUUAAGUCAGAUGUGAAAUCCCCGGGCUCAACCUGGGAACUGCAUCUGAUACUGGCAAGCUUGAGUCUCGUAGAGGGGGGUAGAAUUCCAGGUGUAGCGGUGAAAUGCGUAGAGAUCUGGAGGAAUACCGGUGGCGAAGGCGGCCCCCUGGACGAAGACUGACGCUCAGGUGCGAAAGCGUGGGGAGCAAACAGGAUUAGAUACCCUGGUAGUCCACGCCGUAAACGAUGUCGACUUGGAGGUUGUGCCCUUGAGGCGUGGCUUCCGGAGCUAACGCGUUAAGUCGACCGCCUGGGGAGUACGGCCGCAAGGUUAAAACUCAAAUGAAUUGACGGGGGCCCGCACAAGCGGUGGAGCAUGUGGUUUAAUUCGAUGCAACGCGAAGAACCUUACCUGGUCUUGACAUCCACGGAAGUUUUCAGAGAUGAGAAUGUGCCUUCGGGAACCGUGAGACAGGUGCUGCAUGGCUGUCGUCAGCUCGUGUUGUGAAAUGUUGGGUUAAGUCCCGCAACGAGCGCAACCCUUAUCCUUUGUUGCCAGCGGUCCGGCCGGGAACUCAAAGGAGACUGCCAGUGAUAAACUGGAGGAA
rnacentral:rRNA from 1 species